CGUCAAGCUUUAUUGACCAUCUUCAAUACAGACAUUAGAACUAAAACACAACGCAACAACCAGAGAAUCCAACAACAGUAUCUAAGGCUGCAGACUGCUUUGAAAACCUAGGACAGUACACUGAGGGACUUCGUUUGACAGAGGGAUCUGUACCUACUGUCCGUGCCAAGUCACAAGAUGAGAGACAUACUCUACCUGGCUUCUCUGCAUUACAAUGAGGAUGCUGCACGAGACCAGGCCACCUUCUCCUCUGGGGACCCUCUCUACAGGAUGCAUUUCCCAAAGGUAUGUGGAAGACUUGAUGGGCUUCAUCAUGGGCGAGGUCUUUGUGGACCAAGAAGCAUACAGGGAGGAACUCCUGAAAAUAAGCAAAAAAAAACUCUGUCCUCAGAGUUUGAGCACCCAGAGAAGGAGGAGGUGAUCGCCAACUACAGUAUGUGUCUCGCUUCAAUCCAGGGGAGGCAGUUUGAAGCCCACGUAUUGUCCUUGGCUGUCAGGAAACUCCCGACGAACACGCAGGACCACACAUGACGGGAUGACGACCCUUAUUCUGCAUCCAAGGAAUCCCCAACACCAACUGACAAAGCUCCUGUAGGCAAGCUAUCUGUAACGACUAAAAAAAAAAAAAACAUUGCAGUAGUUAGCAGGUUACAUAAUCUGUCAGUUCUGUCAAAAGUGCAAAGUGCAAUUGUCAUAUUGCAUAUGUCAUGUUUUAUUUCUGUUUUGUGUAAUAAAUAUAUUGUAAUGUCUUAAAU